CGCUCUCCUCCGCUCACCUCUUGGAUCACGCCCCAGUACCAACACCUCUGCCACAGCUCACCCCAGAUCUGCCCAGACAUCAAAGCCAGCUUCCUACAACCCCGGCCACCGGAAAGAGUGCUCUGCGCCUUUGCUACCCAUCUCCACAUUUUGUGGUGCCUCUUUAGUUCAGUUAAAAGAAAUAAAAUUGUAUCUUAUUUUUUUCCUA